CUAUGUAUGUGCAUGUGUGUUUGUGUGUACAUGUACAUGUAUAUAUAUAUUGAUAUACAUAUAAAUACAUGCACACAUAUUCAUGCAUGCACACGCACACAUUAAUGGCACUCUUAGAUCC
ensembl:miRNA Mir466l microRNA 466l